rnacentral:snRNA from 1 species
GUGCUCACUUCUGCAACACAUAUACUAAAAUUGGAACAAUAUGGAGAAGAUAAACAUGGGCCCUGCACAAGGACAACACACAAAUUUGUGAAACAUUCCAAAUUUUU